CCUACGGGUGGCAGCAGUGAGGAAUAUUGGUCAAUGGUCGGGAGACUGAACCAGCCAAGCCGCGUGAGGGAGGAAGGUACAGAGUAUCGUAAACCUCUUUUGUCAGGGAACAAAGACUGGGACGCGUCCCCGGAUGAGUUUACCUGACGAAAACGCCUCGGCAAACCCCGUGCCAUCGGCCGCGGUAAUAGGGGGGAUGCGAGCGGUCUCCGUAUUUAUUGGUUUAAAAGGUAGCGCGGGCGGUCUGUUAAGUCAGCGGGAAAAGCCCGGGGCUCAACCCCGGCCCGCCGUUGAAACUGGCAGUAUCGAGUUGGGGAGAAGUAUGCGGAAUGCGCGGUGUAGCGGUGAAAGGCGUAGAGAUCGCGAAGAACUCCGAUUGCGAAGGCAGCAUGCCGGCUCCACACUGACGCUGAGGCACGAAAGCGUGGGUAUCGAACAGGAGUAGAUACCCGAGUAGUC
rnacentral:rRNA from 1 species